UACCAGCACCCCGAGUGGUCGGGACGAUUAUUGGGCCUAAAGCAUCCGUAGCCGGUUCUACAAGUCUUCCGUUAAAUCCACCAUUGCUUAACAGAGUGGCUGCGGAGGAUACUAUGGAGCUAGGAGGCGGGAGAGGCAAGCGGUACUUAGUGGGUAGGGGUAAAAUCCGUUGAUCCAUUGAAGACCACCAGUGGCGAAGGCGGCUUGCCAGAACGCACUCGACGGUGAGGGAUGAAAGCUGGGGGAG
rnacentral:rRNA from 1 species